CGGUAAUUCCAGCUCCAAUAGCGUAUAUUAAAGUUGUUGCAGUUAAAAAGCUCGUAGUUGAACCUUGGGCUUGGUUGGCCGGUCCGCCUUUUUGGCGAGUACUGGACCCAACCGAGCCUUUCCUUCUGGCUAACCUUUCGCCCUUGUGGUGUUUGGCGAACCAGGACUUUUACUUUGAAAAAAUUAGAGUGUUCAAAGCAGGCCUUUGCUCGAAUAUAUUAGCAUGGAAUAAUAGAAUAGGACGUUAUGGUUCUAUUUUGUUGGUUUCUAGGACCAUCGUAAUGAUUAAUAGGGACGGUCGGGGGCAUCAGUAUUCAGUUGUCAGAGGUGAAAUUCUUGGAUUACCUGAAGACUAACUACUGCGAAAGCAUUUGCCAAGGACGUUUUCAUUAAUCAAGAACGAAAGUUAGGGGAUCGAAGAUGAUCAGAUACCGUCGUAGUCUUAACCAUAAACUAUGCCGACUAGGGAUCGGGUGUUGUUCUUUUUUUGACGCACUCGGCACCUUACGAGAAAUCGAAGUCUUUGGGUUCUGGGGGGAGUAUGGUCGCAAGGCUGAAACUUAAAGGAAUUGACGGAAGGGCACCACCAGGAGUGGAGCCUGCGGCUUAAUUUGACUCAACACGGGGAAACUCACCAGGUCCAGACACAAUAAGGAUUGACAGAUUGAGAGCUCUUUCUUGAUUUUGUGGGUGGUGGUGCAUGGCCGUUCUUAGUUGGUGGAGUGAUUUGUCUGCUUAAUUGCGAUAACGAACGAGACCUUAACCUACUAAAUAGUGCUGCUAGCUUUUGCUGGUAUAGUCACUUCUUAGAGGGACUAUCGAUUUCAAGUCGAUGGAAGUUUGAGGCAAUAACAGGUCUGUGAUGCCCUUAGACGUUCUGGGCCGCACGCGCGCUACACUGACGGAGCCAACGAGUAUUAACCUUGGCCGAGAGGUCUGGGAAAUCCUGUGAAACUCCGUCGUGCUGGGGAUAGAGCAUUGUAAUUAUUGCUCUUCAACGAGGAAUUCCUAGUAAGCGCAAGUCAUCAGCUUGCGUUGAUUACGUCCCUGCCCCUUGUACNCACCGCCC
rnacentral:rRNA from 1 species